rnacentral:rRNA from 1 species
CACGUGGGGUGCGAGCGUUGUCCGGAAUUAUUGGGCGUAAAGAGCUCGUAGGCGGUGUGUCGCGUCGGCCGUGAAAACCUGGGGCUUAACUCUGGGCUUGCGGUCGAUACGGGCAUCACUGGAGUUCGGCAGGGGAGACUGGAAUUCCUGGUGUAGCGGUGAAAUGCGCAGAUAUCAGGAGGAACACCGGUGGCGAAGGCGGGUCUCUGGGCCGAUACUGACGCUGAGGAGCGAAAGCGUGGGGAGCGAACAGG